CAACGAAUAUUCCGCAAUGGACGCAAGUCUGACGGAGCGACGCCGCGUGCAGGAUGAAGUCCCUCGAGAUGUAAACUGCUGUCAGGGGCUCGGAAGAACGUGACCAGCCCCAGAGGAAGCAUCGGCUAACUCCGUGCCAGCAGCCGCGGUAAUACGGAGGAUGCGAGCGUUGUUCGGAAUCACUGGGCUUAAAGCGCAUGUAGGCGGGGUACCAGGUGCUUUGUGAAAGCCCUCGGCUCAACCGAGGAAU
rnacentral:rRNA from 1 species